ACUGACCGAUAGUGAACCAGUACCGUGAGGGAAAGGCGAAAAGAACCCCUGUGAGGGGAGUGAAAUAGAUCCUGAAACCGCAUGCAUACAAGCAGUGGGAGCACCUUCGUGGUGUGACUGCGUACCUUUUGUAUAAUGGGUCAGCGACUUAUAUUCAGUAGCAAGGUUAACCGUAUAGGGGAGCCGUAGAGAAAUCGAGUCUUAAUAGGGCGUUUAGUUGCUGGGUAUAGACCCGAAACCAGGCGAUCUAUCCAUGAGCAGGUUGAAGGUUGGGUAACACUAACUGGAGGACCGAACCCACUGUCGUUGAAAAGCCAGGGGAUGACUUGUGGAUAGGGGUGAAAGGCUAAUCAAGCCUGGUGAUAGCUGGUUCUCCCCGAAAGCUAUUUAGGUAGCGCCUCGGACGAAUACCAUAGGGGGUAGAGCACUGUUUCGGCUAGGGGGUCAUCCCGACUUACCAAACCGAUGCAAACUCCGAAUACCUAUGAGUACUAUCCGGGAGACAGACUGCGGGUGCUAACGUCCGUAGUCAAGAGGAAAACAAUCCAGACCGCCAGCUAAGGCCCCAAAAUCAUAGUUAAGUGGGAAACGAUGUGGGAAGGCAUAGACAGCUAGGAGGUUGGCUUAGAAGCAGCCACCCUUUAAAGAAAGCGUAAUAGCUCACUAGUCGAGUCGGCCUGCGCGGAAGAUGUAACGGGGCUAAAA
rnacentral:rRNA from 1 species